rnacentral:rRNA from 1 species
GACGUAGGGCGCGAGCGUUGUCCGGAUUUACUGGGCGUAAAGGGCGCGUAGGCGGCGCAACAAGUCACUUGUGAAAUCUCCGGGCUUAACCCGGAGCGGCCAAGUGAUACUGUCGUGCUAGAGUGCGGAAGGGGCUACUGGAAUUCUCGGUGUAGCGGUGAAAUGCGUAGAUAUCGAGAGGAACACCUGCGGCGAAGGCGGGUAGCUGGGCCGACACUGACGCUGAUGCGCGAAAGCCAGGGGAGCGAACGGG